rnacentral:rRNA from 1 species
UUCGCCAGGGAACAACGAGCCCCAGCUUAAAACCCAAAGGACUUGGCGGUGCUUUAGACCCCCCUAGAGGAGCCUGUUCUAGAACCGAUACUCCCCGUUCAACCUCACCAUCUCUUGCUCUUACCGCCUAUAUACCGCCGUCGUCAGCUUACCCUGUGAGGGAUUAAUAGUAAGCAAAACUGGCAAAGCCUAAAACGUCAGGUCGAGGUGUAGCGAAUGAGAUGGGAAGAAAUGGGCUACAUUUACUGUCCUAGUAAAUACGAAUACUGCACUGAAACAAGCAGUUGAAGGAGGAUUUAGCAGUAAGAGGGGAAUAGAGCGCCCCCCUGAAAAUGGCCCUGAAGCGCGCACACACCGCCCGUCACUCUCCCCAAUAUAAAUAUAUACAAUAAAUAAUAAGCUACAAAACACAAGGGGAGGCAAGUCGUAACAUGGUAAGUGUACCGGAAGGUGCACUUGGAAAAACC